AUGGGUAAGUGGAGGCCCCUGGAUUUCCACCCCGCGCUUGGUUUCUGGCAGCACCGCCUGGAACCUGGCGGCCUGCGUGCAGGGCAGGGCGGGGCCGGGCGUCCCCCACUUGGGCCCCUGGCGGCCUGGGUGUGGGGCAGGGCGGGGCCGGGCGUCCCCCACCUGGGCCCAGGCGGAUGGCUCCCUUCACAGUCGCCGCUGUGUCUGUGUGGGCAGGGAGCUAGGGUGGCUGCUGGCCGGGGACCGGGGCCUGCGCCUGGGAGUUCUGUGUGGGCCGUGCUGCUGCUGGACUGCAGCUUGGGUCUGCGCUCCCACGGGCAGGCGGGGGUGGGGAGGUGUGGGGAGCGGGCCAGGGACCCCGUCUGCCUGGGCUGCCUGUGGCCACCUCCACGCCCCCAGCUCCUCGGGGUGCCCGCAGGCCACAGGAAACGCAGGCCCCGCUGUCCUGUCGCAAGGCGGCUCCAGUCCUGGCCAGGGCGCUGCCCACCCGCAGUGUCCGGUACCCGAGAAGAUUCUGGUAGGGGGGUGGAGGGGGGUCAGGCCACGUCUGAGGGUCAGUGUCCGGGACCUCGAUUAUUUUGUUAUUAUUUCUUGUGUUUUCACGUAACGUGCAUUUCCCUGGCCCUUUGGGCCACGCUGCCGACGCCACUUCCUGCCCAGCAGGACGUUGGAAGGGGGGCUCUGGGCCUGCCCCAGGGGCUGCUGGGACACGGGACGGAUCUCUGCGGGCAGCCGGGCAGGGGCUCAGUGCAGACACCUGUGCGGGCCAGAGAGUGGCCGAGGUUGCUCCAGGCGCCCAGGGGCUGGGAGGGUGGGGCUCAGCCGGGGCGCUCGGCAUGGGCCUGCAUGGGGGUCUCUGUGCGUCUCUGUGGGCCUGGGCAGGCUCCGAGGCAGUGGGGAGGUUGGCCUUGCCUGGGAGCCCCAAGGGUGGGCCGGCCACCUGAACACGGCAUCAGGUCACGCUCCACCUGCCCCGCUCCCAGGGGAGGCCUGGUGCCCGGGGCCCAGGUGGACGAUGGCCUACAGGCAUUUUGUGGACCACGGGGGACGUCCCUGGACUGUGGCCCAAGGUCAGCAAGGCUGAGAGCAAGUGCCACAGUCCGGGGAGCUCCCUCCCUCGAAUCCCCGUCAGCAGGUGGGGCAGCAGCCCCAGGCCACCCCGCAGCGCGUGUGGCCAGCACGGGCCUGGCGGAGGAGGCAGGCUCCCCAAAGCACAGGGCUGGUGUGUGCGUGUGCGUGUGUGCACCCACGUGUGCAUAG
rnacentral:lncRNA from 1 species